UGGUGCACGGAGGCGUUCUGUAGCCUUGCAGAAAUUUGAAACAAAAUCACAAUACAAAUUAGAGGGCGCAGUGACGGUGCUAACCAAAGCAGAUUGAACGUACUAGUAAUAAUGCUGAACAUAUUCAGAGAGCCUUGUGUGAUGGUAGAAGGGGGUAUUUAACACAGUUAAGAAGACAUAUAUUCCAAUACGGCUGAAAAAAGGAAUGGGUUGUGGGGGUAGCAGGUCUGAUGCCAUUGAACCGAGAUACUAUGAAAGCUGGACCAGAGACACGGAAUCUACAUGGCUUACAAAUACAGAUACAGAGAACCCAUUGCCGGGCAUCGCCAGCAAUACUAGUGUGUUUCCAGAAAACGCCGUCUCCACCAGUAAGAAGGAAAAUGGGGCAGUUAACACAGGGAAGGGAGCAGAAGGCAAGGGAACCCAAACCUGUGUCACUGUGUCUUCAAGCGUAACAAACAAAGAAAAGAAGACAGUAAAUGCAGGUACUCAGUGUGGUAAACAUGCAACUACUUCUGCUACAACUACACAGAAAAGGAGGACUGUUCUUCAGACUGAGGAACUACCAAAUGGAAAUAAAGAAAAAUGUCCACCAAGGAAGUCGGCAUCGACGUUAAGAAAAGCAUCCAGUGGGCUGAAACAGGCGGACGUGUUCAAGAGGCCGGUAUCAAGUAAACCAGGAAAGGGCUCCUGCACACAAGCAGAGGGGUACAGUCUUUGAUAAACAUACUGAGGAUUAGUCUUGACAUGGCUGGGGUUCUCUGAACAGCAUCCACUUCUCUACUCGCUGACUCUAAAGAAAGGACUCACCAGAGCACCUUAACCAGGCCCGUCAUUGAAGAAUGGGAAUGAUGAGGACAUUAAGAUGCCUUGCUGGAGCAGAGGGUCGCUGCAAAGUGCCUUGAAAGUUAAACUGCUGUGUGGGCUGACAUGGGAACCAUCUCUUUUUUGGAAGUGCUAAAUAUCUGAAAGCCAUUAGUAUUUCAACUACAUUAGAGUCUAAUUAGAAAUUUUUUCUCUACCGUAAGAUUGUAUGGAAAUUGAAUUAUUUUAGGUACCAUUCCGUUUACCUGUCCAACAUUAUGAAAGAACUGUGUAAAAGGCCUUAUACUAUAGCAUAGAGACCACCUGCCUUGUGGAAGAUGGUAUGUUGGUUCCAUGUUUACAACCACCAUUUCUCUGCCAUGUAUAGCAUACAGCAGAUUUGACUUUCUGUGGCAUGACAAAAGCAGCCAACAUAAAGAAAGGCUGUUUCUUUCUAUUUUAUUUUAAGGAUGAAUGCGUAUGCACCAACAAUGCAGUAACAAUAGGUGGCAAAUUGUUAGAAUAACAUGGUGUGCAACCUAAUCUGCAUACAUAAUGACAAAGUAAAUCAUAACGGUCAUCCAUAAUAAAGUCCUUCACCUGGGUGUGAUUAAUUGGAAAAUUGGACAAUCAAUAUAUAGAUGCAAUGUCUAUUGUCAAGCCUAAAAAGCUUUGUUCCUCUGUUGCUUGUUGAUUAUUUUCUUUCCUGCUGAAUGUUAUUCUACUAAUAAGUUUAAAUUUAAACUUGUAUUACAUGAUGGUCUCAUAUAUACAAUAGAUAUACCAUUCAGAAUUGCAUUUUGGUCAUUUGAAAUGUUCAUUACCAUUUUUUAUGCAUGUGACUCUCCUGAAAUCAGUUGUCUGAACAACUCUGGGCUUUGUUCACAACUGAAUUAUUGAGAAUUACUGGAGCACACAAGUUGUUAGGCUGUUAUCAAUGAAAAGAAAAAUGACAGGUACAUUAUUUAAAGUUGUAGCAACACGUGGGGAAGUGUAACGCUAUAUUUUUUCGGAUCCCCGCUUCUUACUGUUUAAGUGCCCUGAUUUGCUUGUUGUUCAGUGAGGACAGUAGUGACAUAACGUGCUUAGGCGACACGUACAAUGCCUUGUCAAGUUGCAUUGCUCAGCAUUGAAAUCAGCACCUUGAGGUUAUUCACGACAAAGCAACCCUCAACCCUAUGCAGUGUUCCUGUACUGAGGGGUACUUGCAACAGUUUUGUGGAACUUACUGUGGGGCAAGUACUGAAGGCUUCAGUUGUUUAAAAUGCUGACGACUUCUUAUUGAAAUGUUUGUCUAAUUUUACAGUACACAUUUCUUGUUAGUACUAAUGAAGCUUUCCUAAUACAUUACAUUGUUUGUAUCACUUUGUGCAAGGUAUCCUUUUUUUAAAAUGCAGGACCAUCAUACACUUGUAGGUAAAAAUUGAAGAAAAAUAUUCUUUGACAAAGGAACCUCAAAAAAUACAAGUCUGAUUUUAGACUUUGAAACAGACCAGAAGAGAUCAAUUCCAGUUGCAAACCUCAAAAUCUUCAAACAUUAAAAGAUUUAAACCAUAGAAAAAGAUACAUGAUUCUUGUUCUGCAGUAUGUAUACUACAUUUGUCAAUGUUUAUUCAACAGGCUUACAAGAUAUGGUAAUAACUCACUUACAGUAAUGCAUGUAUUUUUGAGGAGAAAAAUUCUUAAUUGAAACAUCAUGAAACAGGUUCAUUGUGCAAUGGGUUGCACAGGCUUUGUGACUUCAAAUAAUAAUCUUUAUUUUUAUAUAGCACCUUUUCAUAGUAGACCACAGUCACAAAGUGCUUUACAAGAUAUGGAACUAGGGUGUGUGAAGCAUGCAUCAGCUGCAGAGUCAUUUACAACAAUGUCCUGCCCCAAAGACGGAGCAGAAGGAGGUAAAAUGACUUGUUUAGCGUCACACAAUGAGUCAGUAGCUGAGCUGGGAUUUGAACUGGGUACCUGCUGGUUAUAAGCCCAUUUCUUUAAACACUGGACCACACAGCCAAAUAUGGUCUGGGUAUAGAGAUCCAAGCUAAGGAAAAUCACUGCAAAUGAAACUCAUAAAUCAUAAAGAAGCGCACCUUUUCUUCACUGAGUACCAGUAUCUCCGUCCCACUUAACCACAAAGUGUCGUCAGCUCUAUUGGUCAAAGUACUAAUAAACUGAAAGUGUGAAAUCUAUUGUAUAAUUAACAUUGUGUUUGUGGUGUGCCAAUGAAGAACCCCAGUCAAAUACAUACUCUAAAAAAUCAGUGAUUUAAAAUUUUGCAAGCCUAUGAAAAUGAAGCAAGAUCUUAUCAAGAACGUACUUUAAGCAAAAUUUGUUAAUCCUGUAGGUUGAUGCAAAACAUUUUGCCAUAACUGUAUAUUUAAUCAUUUUAGACAUAUAAGCCAGACACACUGACAAAACUCAAUUUUGUGGGGUUUGGACGUCAAAGCAGACAGCUCUAUAAAUACGAUAAAGAUAAAAGUGAUGAUUAAAUUGCAACAUUGUAAUAGUGCCUGGUUCAUUGUUGAAUGUGUUACAUGGAUGGCAUCAGUGUGCAGUAUAUACUAUGGUGUUAUUAUUAGUAUUACUACAGUUGAAGUGAUACAUAGAAUUUAUUUCAAACAGGGAAUACUUACUUCUCCAUACAGUAUUAGCUAGUAGUAUCUUUAUUUAAAUAUUUUUGGGUGUGUGAGAGUUUUUAUGACAUGUAUUACUGUUUAUAAGGCAUCAUACAUUUUCCAUGAAGAAAAGAUGGAAUUCACUUUGGCUUUUCAAUUAAUUUAUAAGAUGGCCUAUUGAUUGCUGCAGCUUUGUAUAUUGAUUGAGGCUAUAUUUUCUAACUUAAAACAUGAAAAUUAUACAUAAAGGACAGUAUAGAAAACACAGUGUUUUGUAAAGAUUUCUCUAAUCAAUUGAACUUAUCAGUGCAAGUAUUAACAAGUUUUUGUUAAACUAAUAAAAAUUUAGAAAUUCUUGAUGUUC